CGUCCACGUCACGUUGAAACAUCGGUUCCCGUACAAUCACUGAAGGUAAGCAACGCCGAGCCUGGUCAGUACCUAGAUGAGUUACCGCUUAGGUAUACCAGAUGCUGUAAG